rfam:Ciona savignyi cont_28195, whole genome shotgun sequence.
UCACUCUGGCUUCUCUUCAACGUAUGAUUCUUUUGCCUUUUACUAAAGAAUUCCGUGGAGAGAAGCAGUUCAAUGAGUCUUGAACAUUUUUCGAUAUCCGACUUCGGUCGGUUU